AUGGCACUAUGAUGCUGAUACUGACCUGUGAUGCAAUGUUGUCAGGUUUUGUUUGUUUUUAAUGUGACUCAGCUAACUUCAUGGUUGAUUUUGGCGUUCGGCUCCUUUCAAAGAGAAGAGAAAGAGAAAGAUUGUUCUUCUGUUUGGGGUUUUGGCUUCUGAUUCCUAAAUAUCUAUGUAUUUUGGAUCUACUUUUAAAUUUAUGUAUGUGCGCGCCCAUGAGUGGAAAUGCCUGAAGAGGUCAGUGGAGGGCAUAGGAUCCUCUGGAGUUGGGAGUUACAGGCAACUGUGACCUGCCUGAUGUGGAAACCAGGAACAGAACUUGGAGCCUCUGCAAGAGCAGUACAUGUUCUUAAUUGCUGAGCCAUCUCUCCAGCCUGAAGCAGUUACUCCUUAAAAACCUACUUUAUUUUCUGUCUGAGCUCAUGGUCAUUUGCAUGGUAGCCAAGUCCAGAUAAUCUUGAUCUAUUGUGUGUCUCAGGUUUUCCAAAGCCUUUGUUCCUUCUGCUGUUAGAGUCCAGGGAACUGACAAAUAAUACUGCUGGGCCAGAGGAGGGAGAAAGAAGCCUUAAAUCACCGAAAUGUGGUGUACUCUGGACCUGCUCAGCAUGAACCGAGGAGGAAAAAAAGGAGCUGCAAAUAGGAUUGGCUCCUUUGGGCUGAAACUGGAUUGGCAGCAAUGCAGAUCAGCCAUGGGUUGAAGUCAUUUUCUACUUUGGCACGGCUCGGUCUGUGGGGAAUGGUAGAGUCAGGAGUCAGCUGCAGGAUUUUGGGAGCCGGCCAGCAUCUACAUCUGUUCUCAACUGUUCUCCAUCAGCUGAGUGUUGUGAAUAGCCUGAGUUGGAGCAAGCGUACUUAAAGGAUGUAGUUUGGAAUCACAAUGGCCUCAGUCCAAAACGCAAAUCCAUCCCUUCCUGACUGUAUGACUUCAGGCAAGUCGCCCUUUGACCUUCUGUGUUUUCACCUGAAAUGGGGAUCCUAACAGAUGACUAACCAGGUUAUUGGGAGACCCGAUGUGUCCCAAGCCACCUAGAAAGUACAGGAAAUACAUUAACUCCUUUCUCUCUCGUCUGUUUGCUUUCUUUUUUUUAUCACUAUUAUUACUUUUAAAGAUUAAUUUAAUCUUUUUUUUGUGAAAAUGGGGGUUCAACAAAGGGCUUUGCGCACGGAAGCAAGCAUUGCACCGCUGAGCUAAAUCUCCAGCCCUCUUCUUUUUAUUGUGCAGUGGAGUUUCAUUAAAUUAUCCAAUUAGCCUUGAACUCAGUCUGUAGGCCAGGCUGGUCUUGACUUGUGGGCUCCCUGUCUCAGUCUACUUAAAAACCAAUCUUCUAUGCCUACACCACCAAACUGGCUUAUUUUAUUUUUUAUUGGCACAAAUAAUGGAGCUUAUUUAUUCAGUAUAACAUAAUCCAUGAAUCCAUAUGGAAAUGAUCAAAUCAUAUCUGUCACUUUAAAUAUUUUUCAUUUCUUUGUGGCUUACUACAAAAUCUUGGUAGUUAGCUGUUUAUUUUUUUUUUUAAUUAAAGAUAUUUUAUUUUGAGACAACAUCUUUUCAUGUAGCUCUGACUAGCCGGGACCUCACUGUGUAGACCAGGCUGACCUGUCUCAUGGAGAUCCACAGGCCUCUGCUUCUGGAGAGGAUUGAAGGCAUGCACCCCCACUCCUGGAUUUCCUUUGACAUACAUGGACAGAUGUCAAUCAUUGUCACCAUAGUUGUCCCACUGUGCCGUCAGCGCUAGACUCUCUGCGCUGUGCGUGACUAACCCAUGCCUGUCCAUCCCCUUUGCCCCUCCCUGCUUCCUCUCUCGCACCCACUCUUAAUUUCCACUUUCAGCCUCUGUGGGAUCAACGGCCUUAGAUUCCUUGCGUGUGAGACCACACAGUGCCUGUCUCUCCGUGUUUCGUGAGUUUUCUACCUGCCAGAUACUGUUGCACAUGCAGUUUUGAUUUCUGGAGAAUAUGUUUUGUGUCAUUGGAAUGAAUGAAAUCCAUAUGCCUUGUCUAAACUUAUAAUUGCUUUUUUUCAAACUAGCCAAAAGUGACAAGAGAAACCAAAAGUAGCAAAGUAGGCUGGGAGGAGGCUAUAUGUGAGGGAGCAACUCAGCCAGGAUGGGCUGGGGGAACUGUGGCAAGGGUCAUUUGGGCUGUUCGGUCAAAUGCCAAGUUCAUCUUCGAAAGACUCACUGAAUGGCAGUUACAAGCUUAUAAAGUAUUCAGAGUAAUGGAAAUGAUUAGAAAUAGUUUCCAAAUCACUUGCAAGACAUUUUUUACAGUUUGCUUUUUAGAAAAGUACAUUUGCUAAUUAACCAGCAGUACUUAUACAAAGAGAACCAAUAUAAAUAACACAGAGAGAAAGAGAGGGAAAGGAGGAGGAAAAGAGGUUGUUAUGGGUCCCUGAGCCCUACUCAGUCUCUGCAAGUAAUGAUUUUGAUAUGAAAAAUGAGAUGAAAUAUGAAAUCAUAUUUUUAAAUACUUAGUUCUUUUUUAAAGGUAAUUUAUUUAACUUUAUUUGGUGUACAUUUGGUAU